AUGUUUAAGCAUACUAUUUCACAAUUUAAAGGGCUUUUGGAAAGAAAAAAAAAAAAGUUACUCUGUGCAUGUGUGAUAUUGCAUUCAUUCAAAAGCACAGCCUUUCACUUGCUUUUUAACCCUGAGCCCUCUCAAGUGGGACCAUGUUCUGUUGAUCUUUUCUCUACAGCUCGGCUCCUGUCUCAUAUCCUGUCCUACGUGAUCUCUAGGUUCCAAAUAUUUUCCAGACCUUCUGGACAAUGCCUGUUACUAUGCAAUGAAGUCAGACCAGAAGCUCAAAGCUACUCUCUAUAG
rnacentral:lncRNA from 1 species